rnacentral:misc_RNA from 1 species
AAAGGUAAAAUCAAAACCUCUUAUAUAAUUAUUGUAUAUAUAAUGAAUAACCAUCUAUUAUGAUAAAAAAUUAUUAUAUAUACAAUGGUUAUAUUUUAAAAUUUCUUCUGAACAUCGUUAAUAUUUCAUGCAUGUAUGUUUCCUUCUUCUAAUCAGCAAACCUUGUUCUAAUCCUAGCUUCUUCUAUAAAAUGUUCACAAUUUUCUUUGAAUAUUUGUGAAUUUA